AUGUCGUGAUGGGGACAUUUUCUCAACAACUCCUUGAACCUUUCCCAAGAGUCAUAGAAAGAUUCACCAUCCAACUGAUAAAAAUUAUUAAUUUGCCUUCUCAAUUU